rnacentral:rRNA from 1 species
UACGUAGGGGGCAAGCGUUGUCCGGAUUUAUUGGGCGUAAAGAGCGUGUAGGCGGCUUUACAGGUCCGUUGUGAAAACUCGAGGCUCAACCUCGAGACGCCGGUGGAAACCGUAAGGCUAGAGUCCGGAAGAGGAGAGUGGAAUUCCUGGUGUAGCGGUGAAAUGCGCAGAUAUCAGGAGGAACACCAACGGCGAAGGCAGCUCGCUGGGACGGUACUGACGCUGAGGCGCGAAAGCUAGGGGAGCAAACAGG